rnacentral:sRNA from 1 species
CCUAAAUAUUAAAAUAAUUAAUGUCUUAAAUGACAUGGUAAGAUACGGAAACUAUAGAUUCCUAAUUUCAAGAAUCCAUAGAAAACACAUGCGGGUUUUCAAAACUUCUCAGCUUAAUGGAGAUGCUGAUGACUUUCCUGAUGCCAAUUAACUUCAGUUAUAAUGUAUCUGAAGUGUGUGGAAUUGGUCACUGGGAGAUGUGCUAACUCCUUCUUCAUUAAAGUAUGUUAAGUUGUAAGUUAGACAUUUCAGUGUGUUGUUCCGUGUAAUCUACUUUGGUUAUGCACAAAUCCUUGCUACUGUUUUCCUGCCUCCUCCUGUUCUCUCUUCACUGUCGUGAGCUCCUUUACUCUAUUGUUCACAUUUUAGAAAUCAUACAGAGUUUGUAUCUACAGCACCAGAUUAUUUCGCUCAACACAAACAUCUCCAGCUCCAUGCAUUUCCUACGAUGAUAUAAUUUUUUCUCUUAUACUGAGUAAAAAUUUUGCAUUCAUCUUUUAUUCUCUUUUAUUGGUGCAUUUUUUUGCUUUUGAGCCAGUGCCAGUCAGUAUUUGUCAUUAUAAAUUAUGACUGCAGUUAAAGCAGAUAUUGUGACGUUCCUAUUGGUUUUUCUCUGCUUAGGAAUUAUUUGGCUAUUUCAUUUUCCACAGGAAUUUGAGACUGCUAUUCUAUUUCUGUGAAGAAGGUCAUUGGAACUGAAUGGUCUGGUAGUCUCUGCCUUUUAAUUGGAAGAUUGAGAUU